UACAGAGGGUGCAAGCGUUAAUCGGAAUUACUGGGCGUAAAGCGUGCGUAGACGGUUAUGUAAGUCAGAUGUGAAAGCCCCGGGCUUAACCUGGGAAUGGCAUUUGAGACUGCAUAGCUAGGGUGCGGAAGAGGGAAGCGGAAUUUCCGGUGUAGCGGUGAAAUGCGUAGAUAUCGAGAGGAACACCUGCGGGCGAAGGCGGGUUGCUGGGCUGACACGUGACGCUGAGGCGCGAAAGCUAGGGGAGCGAACGGG
rnacentral:rRNA from 1 species